rnacentral:rRNA from 1 species
AUGUUAGACAAUCUUGGAGUAAUAUUUUGGAAUGUGCGUGGUCUAAACAGCCGGGCCAAGCGCUCCACUGUCCGCACGGUGAUCUCUGCUGCCUCUCCUUGUAUUGUUUGCCUCCAAGAAACAAAACUCUCUUCUGUCUCGUCGGUGAUCGUUCUUGACAUUCUUGGUGUCCUCUUUGAUGGCUUUUUCUGGCUUCCGUCUGAUGGUACACGUGGAGGCAUCAUCUUAGCCUGGCAAUCUAGCUUUCUCUCUCUUUCUAAUCCCGUUAUUGGCGAGCACCAUGUCUCUGCCAUGGUUUGCUCUCCCUUGGGCGGUGACCAUUGGUGGAUUACAGGAGCGUAUGGUCCCCAAGGCAACGACGCGAAGGUGGCCUUCCUCGACGAACUCCAAGCCUUUGUGCCAAUUUGGUCGGCCCUUGGUUUGUGGGAGGUGAUUUCAACAUGA